rnacentral:tRNA from 1 species
AGCAGAGUGGCCUAGUAGAUAAAGCACUGGCCUGGGAGUCAGAAGGACCAGUGUUCUAAUCCUGGCUCUGCCA